rnacentral:rRNA from 1 species
GAUGAACGCUGGCGGCGUGCCUAAUACAUGCAAGUCGAGCGAACAGACGAGGAGCUUGCUCCUCUGACGUUAGCGGCGGACGGGUGAGUAACACGUGGAUAACCUACCUAAAGACUGGGAUAACUUCGGGAAACCGGAGCUAAUACCGGAUAAUAUAUUGAACCGCAUGGUUCAAUAGUGAAAGACGGUUUUGCUGUCACUUAUAGAUGGAUCCGCGCCGCAUUAGCUAGUUGGUAAGGUAACGGCUUACCAAGGCAACGAUGCGUAGCCGACCUGAGAGGGUGAUCGGCCACACUGGAACUGAGACACGGUCCAGACUCCUACGGGAGGCAGCAGUAGGGAAUCUUCCGCAAUGGGCGAAAGCCUGACGGAGCAACGCCGCGCGAGUGAUGAAGGUCUUCGGAUCGUAAAACUCUGUUAUUAGGGAAGAACAAAUGUGUAAGUAACUAUGCACGUCUUGACGGUACCUAAUCAGAAAGCCACGGCUAACUACGUG